AAUUCCUGUGGUAGUCCUUACCGUGUCGAGUUCCGCGCUCAAUGGAGACGUUUGACCCUACCGAGCUGCCCGAGCUGCUUAAACUUUAUUACCGGAGGCUCUUUCCCUACUCUCAGUACUAUCGCUGGCUCAACUACGGCGGAGUGAUAAAGAAUUACUUUCAACACCGUGAAUUUUCAUUCACAUUGAAAGAUGAUAUUUACAUUCGCUACCAAUCCUUCAACAACCAGAGUGAUCUGGAAAAGGAGAUGCAGAAAAUGAAUCCGUACAAGAUUGAUAUAGGCGCAGUAUAUUCCCACAGACCCAAUCAACACAAUACAGUGAAGCUGGGAGCUUUCCAGGCUCAGGAAAAAGAACUGGUAUUUGACAUUGACAUGACAGACUAUGACGAUGUGAGGAGAUGUUGUAGGUGAGCACUGUGUGUCCUGCUGUUAGGGUGGGUGAUAUCACUGACAAUGAGUAAUGAUGACUCUGCUCUAGUUCUGCAGACAUAUGUCCUAAGUGCUGGACCCUCAUGACAAUGGCCAUACGCAUCAUUGACAGAGCAUUGAAGGAGGACUUUGGAUUUAAGCAUCGUCUCUGGGUAUAUU
rnacentral:sRNA from 1 species